AUUCCUUGGGGAAAAAAAAUCCUUUUCAAGGAGGUACUCCUAGAUAGCACUUAAUAGAAUCACCUUCCACCAGGAGGAGCACCACAAUUGUUGCAACAGCUUAAGCCCUGUUAGAAGGGUUGUUUUUUAAGCCACAGUUGCAGUUAUGUUGGCCUAAGGCCCUGAGAAUGAGAGGAGAAUGGAAGAAGAGCUAUUCCUGUAUACACCCCCUGUGCCUGCCCUACAUGGAUCACCACAAGAACACAAGUCGCAAU
rnacentral:lncRNA from 1 species